UACGUAGGGUGCGAGCGUGUCCGGAAUUAUUGGGCGUAAAGGGGCUCGUAGGCGGUCUGUCACGUCGGGAGUGAAAACACGGGGCUUAACCCCGUGCCUGCUUCCGAUACGGGCAGACUAGAGGUAUGCAGGGGAGAACGGAAUUCCUGGUGUAGCGGUGAAAUGCGCAGGAUAUCAGGAGGAACACCGGUGGCGAAGGCGGUUCUCUGGGCAUUACCUGACGUGAGGAGCGAAAGUGUGGGGGAGCGAACAGG
rnacentral:rRNA from 1 species